AUGCAGAUGACGAGUCCCAAAUAGGACGAGACGCGCCUUGUCCUGGAU
rfam:Trichobilharzia regenti genome assembly, scaffold: TRE_scaffold0011624